AGAGUUUGAUUAUGGCUCAAGAUGAACGCUAGCGGCAGGCUUAACACAUGCAAGUCGAAAGGCAACGGGGAGAGUGCUUGCACUCUCUGCCGGCGACUGGCGCACGGGUGAGUAACACGUAUGCAACCUGCCCUCCACAGGGGGACAACCUUCCGAAAGGGAGGCUAAUCCCGCGUAUAUCCCUUGGGGGCAUCCUUGGGGGAGGAAAGGAUUACCGGUGGAGGAUGGGCAUGCGGCGCAUUAGGCAGUAGGCGGGGUAACGGCCCACCUAACCGACGAUGCGUAGGGGUUCUGAGAGGAAGGUCCCCCACACUGGUACUGAGACACGGACCAGACUCCUACGGGAGGCAGCAGUGAGGAAUAUUGGUCAAUGGGCGGGAGCCUGAACCAGCCAAGCCGCGUGAAGGAAGAAAGCGCCAAGCGUCGUAAACUUCUUUUGUCGGGGAACAAAGGGCGCCACGUGUGGCGUUGUGAGUGUACCCGAAGAAAAAGCAUCGGCUAACUCCGUGCCAGCAGCCGCGGUAAUACGGAGGAUGCGAGCGUUAUCCGGAUUUAUUGGGUUUAAAGGGUGCGUAAGCGGUCCGGAAAGUCAGCGGUAAAAGCCCGGGGCUCAACCCCGGCGAGCCGUUGAAACUGUCGG
rnacentral:rRNA from 1 species